UACGAAGGGGGCUAGCGUUGCUCGGAAUCACUGGGCGUAAAGCGCACGUAGGCGGCUUUUUAAGUCAGGGGUGAAAUCCUGGAGCUCAACUCCAGAACUGCCUUUGAUACUGAGAGCUUGAGUCCGGGAGAGGUGAGUGGAACUGGCGAGUGUAGAGGUGAAAUUCGUAGAUAUUCGCAAGAACACCAGUGGCGAAGGCGGCUCACUGGCCCGGUACUGACGCUGAGGUGCGAAAGCGUGGGGAGCAAACAGG
rnacentral:rRNA from 1 species